rnacentral:rRNA from 1 species
GACGAACGCUGGCGGCGUGCUUAAUACAUGCAAGUCGAGCGGAGCGGCGAACGGGUGAGUAACGCGUGAGUAACUGCCCCCCUCUCUGGGAUAACAGUUGGAAACGGCUGCUAAUACCGGAUAGUGGGGGAUGACUCGCGUCCUAUCCGCUUGUUGGUGGGGUAGUGGCCAACCAAGGGGACGACGGGUAACCGGCCUGAGAGGGCGACCGGCCACAGUGGGCUGAGCUACGGGCCAAAAGCCUACGGGAGGCAGCAGUGGGGAAUAUUGCACAAUGGGGGAAACCCUGAUGCAUCAACGCCGCGUGCGGGAUGACGGCCUUCGGGUUGUAAACCGCUUUCAGCCAGGACGCGGUAGUGGCAGAAGAAGCACCGGCUAACUACGUGCCAGCCGCCGCGGUAAUUC